rnacentral:rRNA from 1 species
GAAGAUUUUCGGAUCGUAAACUCCUUUCGAUCGGGAAGAACAGCUCUCGAGUGAAUAGCUGGAGAGUCUGACGGUACCGAGAGAAGAAGCCCCGGCUAACUCUGUGCCAGCAGCCGCGGUAAUACAGGGGGGGCAAGCGUUGUUCGGAAUUACUGGGCAUAAAGGGCUCGUAGGCGGCCAACUAAGUCCGACGUGAAAUCCCAAAGCUUAACUUUGGAACUGCGUCGGAUACUGGAUGGCUUGAAAUCGGGAGAGGGAUGCAGAAUUCCAGGUGUAGCGGUGAAAUGCGUAGAUAUCUGGAGGAAUACCGGUGGCGAAGGCGGCAUCCUGGACCGACAUUGACGCUGAGGAGCGAAAGCUAGGGGAGCAAACGGGAUUAGAUACCCCGGUAGUCCUAGCCCUAAACGAUGAAUGCUUGGUGUGGCGGGUAUCGAUCCCUGCCGUGCCGAAGCUAACGCAUUAAGCAUUCCGCCUGGGGAGUACGGUCGCAAGGCUGAAACUCAAAGG